UUUCACCUGAGGUAAUGAGGAACAGAUUCAAAAGAGACAAAUGGAAUUGGGAAAAAAAAAAAGAGAGAAGAAAAAAAAAAGGAAAUUAAAAAACUUCUCCUUGACUUUUUCACACUUUCAGAACCAAGCUGCAACCAAAUAUUUUUUAAGUCCUGGAACAAGUAGAGAGAGGUUUUAUUUUGACAAUUGUAAUUGCCAUCAAGGUUUGAAACAGUCACACCACAAAAAUGAUGUUUCUGGCAAGCACCUGAAAGGUACAGGACUUUGCUUUUCUCCUUAUUGAACUUCAUGAAAUAUCUUUUGUCCUGGACCUCAAAUUUAUCAAGUUCCCACCGCAGUGAAUCUCCGCUAUUCAGUUCGUCUGAGUGGCAGAAGUUUCCCCUGGGUUAUUACAGUCCUCAAAUUCACUAAAGGUAAAUGGUUCACCUUGUUCUGUUGUUUAUUCCCAAGCCACCUAUGAACUGGCUCACCUGUUGCAUGUUGAGAAGUAAGAUGAUGAAUACCAGUUCUGUAAAACUGCUCAGACGAGGAAAAUUACAUGGCCAUUAUAAGUCAGUUGCAUGAAAAUCCUUGGGUAAACAUCAUACAUUCUGGGCCACUUGAAGGUGAAUAUUUUCAUCAGAUCUCUCCCCAUCCUGUAAUUUAUAAUCAGUGGAGCUAGUAUGCAGUGCUUUAAGACCAUAAAACAGAAAAUUCUCAUGGAAGGAAAAAUUCAUAAUGUUUGCCAGAUGAUAAUCCAGAAGGUCUACAUGCUCAGAAUGUUGAUUGUUGACCCAUUACCUUCUUCAACAACACAAGAUGGAAGAAGAUAAUAAAAUUAUCUGAAUAAGAGGGUAGAUUUGCAGAAAGGGAUGAAAGAAAGAUUCUACAAAGGAACUUCCCACUCUACUCUGCACUGGUGUGGCUUCACUUCAAGUACUGCGUGCAGUUUGGACACUGGAAUAUCAGAAGAGCUAAAACUACUGGAGAGCAUCCCAAGGACCUGAGGGAACAGCAUGGAGAUGAUAAAGAUUUUUUUUCAUGAAGAUGUCCAACUGUGUACCUGCCAUGCAUGAAGGAAACAAAAUGACAUGGACAAAUGAAAUAGGACCAGGAGACUGAGUGCAAGCAGGUGGCGAGAGAGGAGACAGUGUUCACCUCAAAGGGGAAGAUAAACUCCUUAUUCAAAGGACAAAGUGAAGACUAAACAGGAAAAAGAAAACAACAACAACAACAAAAACCCACUUUGAUAAGCUUCUCUGUACUAAAGAGUCAGGUAGAGGCAUCUGAGAAAGAAUGAGAUCAAGAGAGGGAAGAAUUCUCAUUCUGUCUAACUUCAAGCAUCCAGCUCAAGCUUCUUAUAUGCAAAUGUUACAGAUAGGCGCCUGAAGAAGUCCAUUUGGGGUCUAUUUUUGAUUACUUUAAAGAAACUGGCAUUGUAAUUUAGGAUAGUUCAAUGUAGGUUGACUAACUUAACUUAAAAAUCAUUUUGCUAGUGGAUGGUAGUUUCUGUGAAAUCCUCUAGGCUCAGGGGGUAUUUGAUGUAUGUACUCCAGUUUCUUCUUGGUUCAUUGUCUUUUUCCAACACCAACUCUCUUCUGAAUAAACUGCUCAGAUAUGUUAUUUAUUGCCUGUGGGAUGAUUCUGAGGUUCUUGCUGUCGUGUUAUCAUCAGUAAGCUCCCAGGUUUUGCCCAGCUUGAAUCAGUGGCAAGGUUAGAAAACAAAGCAUGUCAGAAAUAGGUCAGAGGAUCACAGGUUUAUAUCAGCUGGGACAUGGUGCCUUCUUUUUUUAAUGCAAAAAUUAUGUGUGUGAGUUUACUGCACAAACAUGAAAUCAAAAGGAACAUUUACAAGAGCAGUUUACUACUUCAGACAUGUUGCAAAAAUAUGGCAGUAAAGAUAAAAAAAAGAGAGCGAUCCAAGAUGGUGCAAUAGCUUUCAUCAUCCAGUCUCAUAAAUGUCUAAUCCCACUCUCUUUCAGAUCAUGUUUAUUUUCAUAUAAAUUCCUUCAAAUUGUAGUGUUGCUGUUUCCUUAAAUGACUAAUUGUUUUAUGCUACCCUUGUGAGAGCCAUUUAUAUCAGUGCGUUUCCAUACCCUGUGGCCUGGUUGAUGUGGCUAUUCCAUCCACUAAAGAAAAAGAUGUUCUGUAAUAUGAUGGCUUGUUAAUGUUUCCGUCAGUUAUUUGUUCACCAUGUUUUGCAAUUUUUCUUAGUAAAAAAGCAUAUAUGUCAUUUAGCUUUUUUUUUUUUUUUUUUAAGAGUUUCAUUUCUCCUUGAUGUUUGCCAAAGAUUUGGUGUAUUUGAGCAAGAGGAAGUAAUUUAAUAGACAGAAAUCUUGUUCUUGGCCUUCUGUUUGGACAGUAGGUGUUCCACAUUGCUUGAAAGUGAGCAGACUAGUUACAUGACAGUGGCAGAUGAAGUUUUAGGGGCUACUGUGGUUCUCAUCCCAGAGCAUGAAGCAUGUUGUAGGUGCAGUUCCCCAGAUUCAGUUUGGGCAGGUAGGUAAGCUUCCUACUAAGUCAUGAUUAUCUCUCUUAAUAAUCAAUUAUUUAGAACUCCUGCCAUAACAUGCAAGUGUAUUGAUUACAUCACUGGAAAUUUUUCACCUCAUCAUACUUUCCAGCCUGUUUCUGGAUAUGCUGCUGAGGUGAGCUGCUCUCACCUCACCUACUGAGUGAAUUAGGUAUUGCUCACUGCAAAGACCAAGAUACAAAAACCAGACAAUUCUUUUUCCAUUUGUGUUCCUUGUGGAAGAACAAAAUUUUGCCUGUUCACAUCUUUUGCUGAAAAAACGCUGAAAAAAACCAUUCCUCACUAGCAACAAUUGAAACUUUACAAAUAACAGUUUUGUGAUUCUCCUUUUAAAAUAAAGAAGUAACUUGACUGUAAAGCUCAAAAUAUUUCUGUAUAUGCUCCCAUUAUAUCACAAAUGUGAUAAACUGAAAGAAAACCAUGUUGUGUUCCUCUCUGGCUCUCUCACUCCUUCCUGUGAUUGCAUUUAAGAAUGUCUUUACAUGAAAUAAGUCAACAAGAUAACUCCAGUUCAUAAUGCUGCAUGGAUUUAUACAUACUUGGAGAAUGAAGCAAGGG
rnacentral:lncRNA from 1 species